GAGUUAAAUUAUUCUUAAUCCUCUAAACUAUUAAUCUAAUCCACGAAAUAGCGAUACAAGAGGACACGAACGAAAUUAACGUACGUAUAAUUGCUGCAACACCGAUGCCCGUAAAUUAUGGUAAACGAAGAGACUAGGUGUGCCCGCACCAAUGAACUGUGAACCCGUAGUCGGUAUCGCAAUGUCUCCUUUGGCUACAAACUAGAAACGAACAGAGUCUCGUACUGCGGCGUAACUAAAUAGGUGUAUUGUCAUUGGACGCUUCAGUACAAAGCAAAAGGAUCACCUACAGGAACACUAUGACACGACAGAAAAAAGGAUUUAUGACACUGCUGAGUGGGCCCUCAAAGGGCCUAGGUCUGAAAAACUCUCGAAAGG
rnacentral:misc_RNA from 1 species